GACGAGGGGUCCAAGCGUUGUUCGGAAUUAUUGGGCGUAAAGCGGGUGUAGGUGGCUCUAUAAGUCAGGAGUGAAAUCCCCAAGCUUAACUUGGGAAGUGCUUUUGAUACUGCAGAGCUUGAAUGUGGGAGAGGUUAAUAGAAUUCCAGGUGCAGUGGUGAAAUACGUAGAUAUCUGGAGGAAUACCGGAGGCGAAGGCGGUUAACUGGCCCAACAUUGACACUGAGACCCGAAAGCGUGGGGAUCAAACAGG
rnacentral:rRNA from 1 species